rnacentral:rRNA from 1 species
CAGUCGCCACGGGAAUACAGAGGGUGCGAGCGUUAAUCGGAUUUACUGGGCGUAAAGCGUGCGUAGGCGGCUUCUUAAGUCGGAUGUGAAAUCCCUGAGCUUAACUUAGGAAUUGCAUUCGAUACUGGGAAGCUAGAGUAUGGGAGAGGAUGGUAGAAUUCCAGGUGUAGCGGUGAAAUGCGUAGAGAUCUGGAGGAAUACCGAUGGCGAAGGCAGCCAUCUGGCCUAAUACUGACGCUGAGGUACGAAAGCAUGGGGAGCAAACAGGAUUAGAGACCCCAGUAGUCCCUGUCUCUUAUAC